rnacentral:lncRNA from 1 species
UGCCCGCCACACUGUCCCAGCACAGGACGGGAUAGGCCCAAGGCCCGUCUCAGCAACCUGGCCUGGAGUCCUAAUUGUGCCUUUGACGGUGGCCUUGGAAGAGAGGCUCCAUCUCCCCAGGCUCGAUUUCCUCGUCUGCAACAAGGAGCCCAGCUCGGGCGGCUCCGAGCUCCGCCUGGGCUCCUGGGCCAUCGGGGUGGCCCGGCCUGGCUCCGCACCUCCAUGAACCACAGCAGCACUCCAGGCUCCUGGACCCGGUGCCGCGUGGAGCCCCAUUCCUGUCCCUGAUGGCUACACCUGGGGGUGCUUGUGGCGGUGGAGGGGGCCUGUGUGGCAGGUCCCUGGGGGGUCCUGAGUGCUGGCUGUGUUCCAGCAGAGGACAGACAGGUCAUGGAGCCUCCUGCCACACUUGGGCGACCUCUGGGCCCUGGCAUUGCUUGUGAAGACGGGAGGCCAGAUGGGGCGGGCUGAGCCGCCUGGCCAGGCUCCUUGAUGGGCAGGCCGCGGGCUGGCACCGGGCAGGCGGAAAUUCAAGACCUCCACUCCACUCAGAGCCCUGGGCAGGUCAGUUUCCCUCUGUGCUCUGCCGCACGGGUCUUGGAAUCAUCUGGCCUCGCAGCACAGCGGCCCGUGUAGGGGAGCAGCCCGGGGGAUGCAGGACUGCGGUUAGGGCACUGAGGCCCUGUGAGGGCCAGGGCAGGCGGUGGUCCCAAGGUGCUGCUCUGAUUUUGUUUUAAAAAUCUGAUGAAAGAUCCACAGUGUGACAUCAGCCAUCCUGGCCAGGUCCAAAGGCCGGGUCCCAGCCCUGGCGCACAGCCACGCGCGGCCACCCCCAGAGUGUUCCCAUGGACCUAGGCGGAAGCUCUGUCCCCUCAACACCAGCCCUGCCAGCCCAGCCCAGCCGCUUCCUGGGUCCCCUCUGUGUCUGACCCUCCCCCACAGGGGCACCGACAGGCCACCCCUGUUGGCCAGGGUCACAUUUGCUU